GUAGGUGGCAAGCGUUGUCCGGAAUUAUUGGGCGUAAAGCGCGCGCAGGCGGUUCUUUAAGUCUGAUGUGAAAGCCCACGGCUCAACCGUGGAGGGUCUUGGAAACUGGAGAACUUGAGUACAGAAGAGGAAAGCGGAAUUCCACGUGUAGCGGUGAAAUGCGUAGAGAUGUGGAGGAACACCAGUGGCGAAGGCGGCUUUCUGGUCUGUAACUGACGCUGAGGCGCGAAAGCGUGGGGAGCAAACAGGGAUUAGAUACCCUGGUAGUCCACGCCGUAGACGAUGAGUGCUAAGUGUUAGGGGGUUUCCGCCCCCCUUAGUGCUGCAGCUAACGCAUUAAGCACUCCGCCUGGGAGUACGGCCGCAAGGCUG
rnacentral:rRNA from 1 species